GGCAGACUCGAAUAGCUCCUCCGACGCAGAGGAGGGUGGGCGACGGCGACUCCAGAGGCGACAGCAGCUGCAACUAGGCGAGAUGAGGCGGCGGUGAGGUCUCCUCUUCCAUCUUCAUUUUCAUGUGGUGCUUAAAUAUGGUUGAAGCCCAACAAAGUGUACUAUUAUCAAUGUGGAGAUCAUUCUAUACCAGCAAUGAGUAAUGUGUCCUACAAAUGCAACACAAAGAAGUGAUGGAAUUAUAAGAGAGAGAGUUGUGCUACUGCAAAGUGAACUUAUAAGAUAUGGAGAGUGUUAGUGAACAACUUUGAUUUUUGACCGCGAAGACGCAACAAGCAAUAAACUUUUGAUUGUAUAAUUGGUGUUACUUGUAAUUGCUAUUAUUUUAAUUAUGAAGAAGUAACUAUGUUUCAAUGUUGUAAUUGACUAGUUUGAUUUUUGAAAUGGUUGGGAAUGUAGAACUUCUGAAAAUUGUGAAAUUUGAAA